AUGGCCUGGACUCCUCUCCACCUCCUUCUCCUCACUCACUGCCCAGGGUCCAGUUCCCAGGCUGUGGUGACUCCGGAGUCCUCACUGACCAUGUCCCCAGGAGGGACAGUCACUCUCACCUGUGGCUCCACCACUGGAGUGGUGACCAGCAGUCAGUAACCAUCCUGGUUCCAGCAGAAACCUGGCCAAGCUCCCAGGACACUGAUUUAUAAUACAAACAGUAAACCCUCGGGGGUCCCUGCCCGAUUCUGCAGCUCCCUGCUUGGAGACAGGGCCGCCCUCACCAUCUCGGGGGCCCAGCCUGAGGAUGACGGCGAGUAUUAUUGUGUCCUGUGGAAAAAGGGGGGCUGGGGAGGUGGGAUGGAGAUUUCACUGUGUGAUUUUAACAACACUGGUGAAGCUCAAUAUACCAAAGGAAGUGUCAAACAAUUGAGCGAGGUAGCAAGCCAUGCAUGCCUAGGGGAAGAGCAUUCCAAGGAGCACAGCAGUUACAAAGUCUUUGGAUUGGGAAGAAAUGGAAUUUGCUUGAGGAAAAGCACGGCCAGUGUGUCAAAAGUAGUGCACCAGUGGGGAAAGUGGCAGGCUAGCAUGACAGGAUGCAAGAGAGGAGGUAGUCAGGGGCCACAUCACUGGAAUUUUGUUGGCAAUAAAUAA